UGGGGAAUAUUGCACAAUGGGCGAAAGCCUGAUGCAGCGACGCCGCGUGAGGGAUGGAGGCCUUCGGGUUGUAAACCUCUUUCGCUCAUGGUCAAGCCGCAACUCAAGGUUGUGGUGAGGGUAGUGGGUAAAGAAGCGCCGGCUAACUACGUGCCAGCAGCCGCGGUAAUACGUAGGGCGCGAGCGUUGUCCGGAAUUAUUGGGCGUAAAGGGCUUGUAGGCGGUUGGUCGCGUCUGCCGUGAAAUCCUC
rnacentral:rRNA from 1 species